CACGUGAUUUGUACGCCAUUUCAAUUCUUCGCGGGCGUGGAAGCUGGAAAAAUGUAGCUGUCGGCACAACUGCACAAGUCCAACAUGAGACUCUCAGCAGAAGUUAAGAAAGCUGUCAUCAGAACCGGUGUUGCAGACUUCAAGACAGCUCUUAAGUAGAUGAAAGGAGACAAGAUUUGCAUCUUAGUUGAUAUGAAGCAAGAUUGAAGCAAGCGCCAAUCAACCAACCAUCAGCCAGCCAGCCAGCCAGCCAGCCUGCAAGC